AGUGAACGUUGGCGGCGUGGAUUAGGCAUGCAAGUCGAGCGAGAACCGUAGCAAUACGGGGACAGCGGCGAGAGGGACAGUAAUGUGUAGGUACCUACCUCCGGGUUCGGGAUAGCUGCGGGAAACUGCAGGUAAUACCGAAUAACGUCUCCGGACCAAAGGUGUGAUUCCACCUGGAGAGGGGCCUGCAUCCUAUUAGCUUGUUGGCGGGGUAACGGCCCACCAAGGCGACGAUGGGUAGCGGGUGUGAGAGCACGACCCGCGUCAUUGGGACUGAGACACUGCCCAGACACCUACGGGUGGCUGCAGUCGUGAAUCUUCGGCAAUGGGCGCAAGCCUGACCGAGCGACGCCGCGUGCGGGAUGAAGGCCUUCGGGUUGUAAACCGCUGUCGUAGAGGAGGAAAUGCAGGGGGGUUCUCCCCUCUGUUUGACCUAUUCUAGGAGGAAGUACGGGCUAAGUUCGUGCCAGCAGCCGCCGUAAUAC
rnacentral:rRNA from 1 species